GAAAUAUGUGACUAGUAGGCCCAGGUGCAACAUUGCUCAGCUAUUGUUGCGAACUCUGCCAUCCCGCGCCCGGCCGUUCACACACAGGCAUGUUGUUUACAAGCUGUUUUGAAGUCUUGGAUGGACACAUCUGUGAGAAGAUCAAAGUAAUGUGAGCCAAAUUGUAUGUUUUUCCAGUGCAUUAUAUGUGCCCUGAGGCAACUUGGCACCCCUCUUGUUCCUCGGUGGAUGGGUAUCACAUCAGCUGAGGUAUUUCGAUUAGCCCUGAUGGAUAAUUACAGGAACUGGUAUUGCGUUGUAUUUGAGUCAUCAUGUACUGUUGAUUUGUGUAUUAUCUGCACCAGACCUCAACAUAGCUGUUUGACGGACCACAAUGGCUGUGUACUCCAGACACCUGGAUCUCUCCUUGCCUUGACAAUACAGUUUACAAUUAAACGUGAGAAAGACCCAAACAUCUAAUAAUACUUAGCACCAACCAGGAGUUUCUUUGUUGAACUGUUUCUGUUCCUGUUGAGUGUUAUAUCACUGAG
rnacentral:lncRNA from 1 species